AUGGGAUUUUGCAGCAGGCCUUGGCUUACAAAUACAUGAAGCCCCUCUUCAGAGAGCUCUCCUGUAGCACAAGUUACCUUGUAGGGAUAUGGCCUAAAAUUCAAGGUGGAUGCUGUGUUUGACUUGUUUAGACAGGGUUUUUUGCUAUUAUAAUGCAGUGUUCUUGUGCAAAUACUACUUCAUUUGAUGUUUUGAGAAGUACAUAAAGUGGUGCUUUCUAGAACUGGUGCUGUGGUGGGUUGACCCUGGUUCGGUACCAGGUGCCCAGUAAAGCUGCUCUAUCACUCUCUCCCUCAGCUGGACAGGGGCAAGAAAUAAAAUAUGAAGCUUGUAGGUGAAGAUAAGGAUGGGGAGAGAUCACUCGCUACCACCGUCACAGGCAAAGCAGACUCAACUUGGGGAAAAAUGAAUUUAAUUUAUAGAAUCAUAGAAUAGAAAAACACCUUCCCUUCUUCUUGGCCUUAACUUUAUUCCUGAUUUUCUCUGUCUCCUCCCCCAGUGUGGAGCAGGGGCUCGGGGAAGGGGGGUUGCUGUCAGUUCAUCCCAUUGGCUCUGCCACUUCCUCCUCCUCAGGGAGAACUUCUCAUAUUCUUUCCCUGCUCUGGUGUGGGUUCCCUCCUACAGGAGAUAGCUCUCCAUGAACUUCUCCAGUGUGAGUCCUCCCCAUGAACUGCUCCAGUGUGGGUCUCUUCUGUGGUCCUGCCAGGAAGCUGCUCCAGGAUGCGCUUCCCAUGGGAUCACAGCCCCCUUUUGGCAUCCACCUGCUCUGGUGUGGGGUCCUCUAUGGGCUGCAGGUGGAUAUCUGCUCCACCGUGGACCUCCAUGGCUGCAGGGCAUCAGCCUGUCCCACCAUGGUCUUCACCACAGAUGCCAACCUUGGUACCUGGAGAGUUGUUUCUCUCACAUAUUCUCACUACAUUCUCUGGCUGCAUGUUGUGCAGGUUUUUUUCCUCUUCUUAAACACGUUAUCCCAGAGGAGGUACUACUGUGACUGAUGGGCUCAGCUUUGGCCAACAGUGGGUCUGUCUUGGGACCAUCUGGCAUUGGCUCUAUUGGACAUAAAGGAUGCUUCUAGCACCUUCUCACAGAAGCCACCCUCUGUAGCCCUCCCACUACAAAAACCUUGCCAUGCAAACGCAGUAGAGGUGGCAUUGUAAAGGCACAGUAUUCAAGCAUUCCUGCCCUUAGAGCUACCUGCAGUGCAUAGCUUGUGUUAGCUAGGCUGAAGCUCCAUAUACAAAGCUAAUGGAAAAUAAAAUGCUACUUCAAAUUAAAA